GGUGGCUCAGUGGUAGAGCACUUGCCUUACAUGCCUGAAACCCUGGGUUCGAUUCCUCAGCACCA
rnacentral:tRNA from 1 species